rnacentral:lncRNA from 1 species
UGGCAACGGUAGCCAUUUUGAAAGUUUUUAAGAUGGAUUUCACGCUUUCGAAUGAUGAGUUAUAAUGUCUGAAAGUUUCAUUUAAUUUGGACCAUUUUUCGGUUUUUCACAUUUUUGCCGUUUCCAUGGUAACGGCGGCCAUCUUGAAAAUUCCAGACCCUAACUGCACAUCUGCACAUGGGGAUUGUCAUUAUGGUACAGUUUUAUCAAUGUAUGUCAAGUCAUCUCCGAGAACUCGACUGGACAAAAAGUGUGGUAGAAAAAUUUGGAACAAUAACAAUAUAUCACCCCUAUUUCCAUAGGGGUGACAUAAUAUGAAAAAAAAAAGAAACGUAGAAUAACAAUAUGUCACCCUAACUCCGUUGAGGGUGCAAUAAUUAAAGUUUAAGCUGUUCGCGAGAACAGUCAAUUAGAUGCAUAAAUUCAUCAGGACAACUAAUCAACC